rnacentral:rRNA from 1 species
AAUACGGGGACAGCGGCGAAAGGGAGAGUAAUGUGUGGAUAUCUACCUCCAGGCCUGGGACAACUACGGGAAACUGUAGCUAAUACCAGAUAAUGUCUGCGGACCAAAGGUGUGAUUCCUCCGGGAGAUGAGUCCACAUCCUAUUAGCUAGUUGGUAGGGUAAUGGCCUACCAAGGCAAUGAUGGGUAGCAGGUGUGAGAGCACGACCUGCCUCAUUGGGACUGAGACACUGCCCAGACACCUACGGGUGGCUGCAGUCGAGAAUCUUCGGCAAUGGGCGCAAGCCUGACCGAGCGAUGCCGCGUGCGGGAUGAAGGCCUUCGGGUUGUAAACCGCUGUCAGAGGGGAUGAAAUACGUCGGGGGUUCUCCCCCGGGUUUGACAUAUCCUCAGAGGAAGGACGGGCUAAGUUCGUGCCAGCAGCCGCGGUAAGACGAACCGUCCGAACGUUAUUCGGAAUUACUGGGCUUAAAGGGUGCGUAGGCGGCCUGACAAGUUGGGUGUGAAAUACCUCGGCUCAACCGAGGAACAGCGCUCAAAACUGUCAGGCUUGAGGGAGAUAGAGGUGAGCGGAACUUAAGGUGGAGCGGUGAAAUGCGUUGAUAUCUUAAGGAACACCUGUGGCGAAAGCGGCUCACUGGAUCUCUUCUGACGCUCAUGCACGAAAGCUAGGGGAGCAAACGGGAUUAGAUACCCCGGUAGUCCUAGCCGUAAACGGUGAGCACUGGGUUGGAGGCCCCCUC